rnacentral:lncRNA from 1 species
GGGGAUGUGCAUUCUUGCUCACGUCCGGGGUUUCUGACUGGGAUCCUGGAAUGACCUCUGACUCACCUGAAUCAGAUGAGCCGCACUUUCUGGGCUGCCAUAUCGAAGAUCAUGUCCAUUGAUGGCUAACACGCGGUCGUUCUCCUCAAGCUGACCAUGUCGAUCUGCCACACCGCCAUCCAGCACAUUGAAGAUGAAAACCCCAGGCUCAUCCACCUUGCGCACCAGUUUUAUUCCAAGCUGCUCCUGGGGGCUACUUUUGUUGAGAAUCACAUGAAAGCUGUCAUCCCGGGGUCCAUAGGCAUCCGGGGCCUGUCCAUUGUUCCUGCUGUGGAACUUCUGUUCACGCAUCACAGUCAGCCACAGCACCUGGCAGGGCUGCCGCAGGAGACGCACAGCAUAGUUGUGAGGGACAUUGCUGAUGUCCAUCCCGUUGACCUGGGGGCAGGUGGAACAAUCGUGCGGUCAGCUCCACCUGCCACAACCCUUCCUGAAAGAUCCAGGCCCACAGAAAAGCCAGGAUCCUGUCUUUAAAGACUGCUCUGCUCUCCCGCCUCAUCCUGUGUCCAAUAACCACACCUUCCAACAGCGUUUCUAACCCUGUUCUCGCCAAGCAUGGCCUGCAGCACCUCUCCAGGCCUCUAUCUCUCCUAGCUCUCUUCUCAUCUUUCAUCCCAUUGUGACCACACAGAAAACAGCUGCUCUAAUUGUCCUGCUGCUUGACAGUGAUAGUCAAACCCUACAAGUGAGGAGGUUUAAGGCUGAGAGAAGGGGAGUGAAGUAACUGACUGGACAUCCCAAAGUUAGGUGGUCCUGAGAGCCAGUGCUGACAGCUGCCUCACCUUAAGAGUCUCCUUUCGUUAUGGCAUCUGGAAAGAUCUCACAUGGCAGGCCUGCUUCUAGUUCCUUUUCCUAGUGUGUCUGAGGAAAUCCAAUCUCUCCCACUCCAGCCCGCCUACUCAUUGAACAUGACUGCUAUCUCUGUCUUCUGGAAACAUGGCUCCAAUCCUGCAGCAACGCUACACAAGAGCUCCCAGUACUCUGAGCACUAAGUACUCUCAGGUGGUGAUGGGUAAUUUGUAUACUUUGAUGUAGAGCACUUUCAUAAUGUGGUGUGCUGCUCCCUUUUAAGGCAACCAAGCUACUGCUUUACAUUCACAUAUUUCUACAUUCACAUAGAGACUGCAAUGCCUUGGAAAUGAGAACAAAAGUCUAGAAGAGAAGGGACAUUGGUGGCACAUUGCAUCCUGGAAGAAAUAGUCCACCCAGUAAAACAUGAAGCUCUGUUGGCAGGGACAGAUGCAGGGAGACCCUGGGAAGAGAGCAAGCACGGCAUCUGACAGCUCCAUGUACAUUGUGAGCUCCCAGAGUGUGAGAGAGUCAGGAGGAGGUGUACAAGCUACCACCAUAGUAGGACAGAGCCACAUUGGAAAGAACUUAUUACACAGUGCAGUACUAGGCCAGUAUUUGGAAUUUGCCAAAGCUAUAGUCCUCAGAAUUUACUUCAAGAGCUCCUUUGUAUCAGUGGAGAAUGAAGAACGGAGAAGACGAGGAGGAGGUUGAAAGAAACUUAAGAGAUGUGGCAACUAAUUGCAACGUGUAGAUUGUAUUUAGCUCAUGAUUCACACAAACUAGAUAUUUGUUAUUAAAGAAUUAUGGUUGUUUUUG